rnacentral:lncRNA from 1 species
GUAGAUAGUUGCUUAGUUCUACUAUUGUACUUUUGUUUUUGUUCUACAAGUUUAUAGUUGACGAGGAGAGGCUUGCUUAGUUGGUAGAGCACCUCCAUCUCCAACCAGCUAAGGCUAAAGUUCAAUUAAAGGGCGUUUCCACGUUGUAGGUAGUUGGUAAGUGGAAGCACUAUUAAUCAGACUUGUAGCCUGUAUUUCUGUCUUCCUUAGUGCCUUCAUUUUUGCUUAGUUGGUAGAGCACCUCCAUCUCCAACCAGCUAAGGCUAAAGUUCAAUUAAAGGGCGUUUCCACGUUGUAGGUAGUUGGUAAGUGGAAGCACUAUUAAUCAGACUUGUAGCCUGUAUUUCUGUCUUCCUUGGUGCCUUCAUUUUUUCUUCUCCAUGAUGUCUCACCAUUUGAGUGAAGCAGCUUUAAUAUUAUAGCUGUAUUAUUUAUGGUUAGCACAACUCUAUCUUCUGAAAUUGCAUCCGGCCCAACGGUUUGCGCUAUUAUUAUUCAAGAAAAGAAAACAGAUCAACUAUUAUAACGUAAUGGUUAUAGCCUAUAUGUAUAAUGCAUGUUUUGAUCUACAAAUAUGCAUCUUAGUUAACUAGUGAGCUUAAAGAGAAAAGAAUUUAUCCUUCUAAGGAAACCUAUAUGAUCUUUGAGCAUCUUAUUUCAAUAUUUUUUUCUUCGCAAGAAAGCAACUUGCUUGCUGCUUUUAUCACCUGAAUGAAGCACUGUUUUAUUCAUUUGUAAAUCUAAAGUUAACAAUUCUGCAAGACAAAAGGACACACAAAAUGUAAACCAAAAGAGCUGAAGACAAAAGAAGUUCGCACAUUAGAGGUCGGUCAAAUACAGUUUUGCUAAAAGUCAUCGCUUUGGUGCUUAAAGCAAUGAAGUGGUGCGAAGCGAGGAUCAUAGCUUCUUGAAUGAAGUCGUGCACUUCAAAGAAUGACGUGCAAAAGAAAAGGAAAAAAAAAAGGAGGUUCUCACUUGUAUUAGAGACAGUCAAAUAUAACUUUAUUCUUUUCGGCACUUAAAGAGAUGAAGCGAUGUGGCAAGUAGGAGCGGCAGACGGGCGGGUCGGGUUGAAUAUGGGGUCGAAAACGGGUAAUGCAAAAUGGAUAAAUUAUCCGACCCGACCCGUAUUUAAUAUGGAUUGAAAACGAGUUAACAGGUAGAUAAUAUGGAUAUCCAUAUUUUUCAUGGCUUUUUGAAUAUAAUCACUUUUGAUAGAAUUCCUAAUCUCCCAAACUAGGAACUCCCAAUUUGAGGCUUUACAAAUGUAAAAGUUAAACACAUUAGUUAUCCAUUUGUUAUCCAUUUUCUAAGUAGAUAAUAUGGUUGUUAUCCAUAUUUGACCCGUUUUUAAAAAAUUUAUUAUCCAACCUAUUUUUUAAUGGAUAAUACGGGUGACUAACUAUUUUCUUUUAACCAUUUUGUUACCACUAGUGGUAAGAGUUGUUAUAGAUUCAUGGGUGAAGCCAUGUGUUUUAGAGAAAUGUACACUUCAAACAAUGAACACCUUAAAUGAGACAAAUCAAAAAAUGUCUAUCGAUUCUUUUUUUCUUUUAGGGAUGGUUUCCUGUUCAUAUAUAUCACAAAAAUGAGUACAUGGAAGAGGACAUAAAACUUAGCUUCCAUUGUUAGACGAUGAAGUUUAAUACCUGCAUAUACCAAACUGGAGAAUGCUAAGGAGUGUACCGACAUAUACCAAGGUGGAGAACGCUGAGGAGUACAACUCCUUUACAUUUUGUACUCUAAUAUUCUUUACCAAAAAAAGCUGAUAGCUUAAUGUCACAAUCCAAAAUCACGUGACUGGUACUCAGCGUAUUAUCUCAUCCGAGUGAACCUACUCAUACAAGAAUACCCAUUUAUAUGCCUAGUAGAAGUAUAUGCAAAAGCCUUUUCAAAACACGGUCAUUCCAAAUGAUUGAAAUUAAUUGUAUAUGGAACAAAAUCAUUAAAUCGUCCAUUUUCAAUAAACGGAAAUACAAAAAGAUAAUAAUAUUUCUUUCAUGCAUUCGCUUACAACCCCAAAAAAAAUAAUAACAGUGAAUGGAAUCUCUAAAAUAUGAGAAUAACAUAAAUGCUUGGGAUAAUACCGCACUAACAGAAAAUGGGGACAACAUGACAACUACCAUGAAAUAUAAUUGGUGCAUCACUAUAUACCUUAGAAAGAGAGUCAUCAUGGUCAUGUCGGAUCAUCAUGUACCAUACUUUCAUGGACUCAACAAGUAUCAUGAACUCUCUAACUCAAGUUCCUGAGACAAGACUUUAUAAAAAUAAUGCAAUCAAUAUUUGAUA